rnacentral:rRNA from 1 species
GACGAACGCUGGCGGCGUGCUUAACACAUGCAAGUCGAACGGAAAGGCCCUGCUUUUGUGGGGUGCUCGAGUGGCGAACGGGUGAGUAACACGUGAGUAACCUGCCCUUGACUUUGGGAUAACUUCAGGAAACUGGGGCUAAUACCGGAUAGGAGCUCCUGCUGCAUGGUGGGGGUUGGAAAGUUUCGGCGGUUGGGGAUGGACUCGCGGCUUAUCAGCUUGUUGGUGGGGUAGUGGCUUACCAAGGCUUUGACGGGUAGCCGGCCUGAGAGGGUGACCGGCACAAUUGGACCGAGGUAACGGCCCGGACCCUUCCGGGGGGAAGCGGGGGGGAAUUUUCAACAAUGGCCGGAGGCUGGCUGCGGCACCGCGGGGGGGGGAAUAACGGCCUUGGGGUUGUAACCCGCUUCCGCCGUUGAGAAGGCGUGAGGAAGGUUAUGGGUAAAGAAGCACCGGCUAACUACGUG